rnacentral:rRNA from 1 species
AGUGAACGCUGGCGGUAGGCCUAACACAUGCAAGUCGAACGGCAGCACAGUAAGAGCUUGCUCUUACGGGUGGCGAGUGGCGGACGGGUGAGGAAUACAUCGGAAUCUACUUUUUCGUGGGGGAUAACGUAGGGAAACUUACGCUAAUACCGCAUACGACCUACGGGUGAAAGCAGGGGAUCUUCGGACCUUGCGCGAUUGAAUGAGCCGAUGUCGGAUUAGCUAGUUGGCGGGGUAAAGGCCCACCAAGGCGACGAUCCGUAGCUGGUCUGAGAGGAUGCUCGUCCAACCAGGAACGUAUACACGGUCCAGACUGGUGGGGGGUGCGGAGGGGGGUAAUAGUGGAGAAUGGGCGCAAGCCGGAUCCACCCACACCGCGUGGGAGAAGAGGGGUUGCGUGUUGUAAACCCAUUGUUUUGGGAAAGAAAAGCACCAGUAUAACCCCCUGCUGUUCGGACGGUACCAAAAGAAAAAGCACCGGCUAGCUUCGGGCCAGCAGGGGAGGAAAACUCGAACGGCACAUGUCUGAAC